rnacentral:rRNA from 1 species
GACGAACGCUGGCGGCGUGCUUAACACAUGCAAGUCGAACGGAAAGGCCCUGCUUUUGCGGGGUGCUCGAGUGGCGAACGGGUGAGUAACACGUGAGUAACCUGCCCUUGACUUUGGGAUAACUCCAGGAAACUGGGGCUAAUACCGGAUAGGAGCUCCUGCUGCACGGUGGGGGUUGGAAAGUUUCGGCGGUUGGGGAUGGACUCGCGGCUUAUCAGCUUGUUGGUGGGGUAGUGGCUUACCAAGGCUUUGACGGGUAGCCGGCCUGGGAGGUUGACCGGCGACAAUGGGACUGAGGUACGGACCAGACGGCAACGGGAGGCAGCAGGGGGGAAUAUUGCGGAAUGGGCGGAAGCCUGUUGCAGCAGCGCCGCGUGCGGGAUGCCGGGUUUCGGGUUGUAAACCGCUUUCGCCUGUGACGAGGCGUGAGUGACGGUAAUGGGUAAAGAAGCACCGGCUAACUACGUG